GAGUGAAGUGAUGUUUAACCAUCUUUCGGGACUUACUGAUUAAUGGGGAUUAUUUUACUUUACUGAUCACUC